UUUUAUGGUCUUGCAGUUGGCACUGCUGACGGUGUCACAGUAACCACACACUGUGUAGAUCAGGUGAAAAGAG